rnacentral:piRNA from 1 species
UGGCAAACAAGGGAUCCUAAGGCCGAUA